rnacentral:lncRNA from 1 species
UGUUCAUAGACUUUAAAAAGUUUAAUUAAAUACAGAUGAAUGACAUUUCCUACUUUCGUAAAACUAUAGAUCGGCAUUUGUAAGAGCUCAUGAAGGCAUCCAGUCCUUGUCCUAAUUAGCCACGGUAGUUUAAAGCAAAAAAAAGUAGUGCUGGAGGGGGGGGAGGGGAUCUACUGUUGAUUUAUCAAUUAUGGUAUUUUCUAUUAUACCAAAAUGAUGCAGAAAGGCUUUGAAAUCCAUCAUCCCAAUGCCAGUUUCUGCAGUUAUGAAAAAAAUGCCUAUACUGACAACAAAGUCCAUUUCAUGCUCUUGUAUUCCACUUGACCUUCUAUCUUCUCAGUUUAAGGAUUGUGGCCUGAGGCCACCGCCGUGUCAGUCACCCACAUGUUAACUCUGGCAACAAACCAAGUAUUGAAUUCUUGCAGAAACGCCGAAAAGAUCGUUAGAAAAAAAGAAAAGCUUAUGUGUACAUACAUACUAUGGAGCACUUCUGGCUGCACUUUUGUCGAGAGAAUGAUUCUCAAUGGGC